GAUACAGCACCUGGCCCAGGAAAGAUACAGAGGGCCACAUGGGGCUUGGAUAGAAGCUUUUCUGAGGCCAGGAGGUAGGACUAGAGCUGGAUUCUGAAUCACGGGACUGUGAUGCGAGGAACCACAGGGAGAGCAAAAGAAGACAGGACAGUAUCCUGUGUUUGUGGCCACAAGCGGAAGCCAGGUGAAGAUGUGGGGGAGACCCAAGAGGAGAACCCAGGGCUCCCUAGUUACCAGGGACAAGGGACAAAAGAGCCACUCCAGUACUUCAUGGAGAGGGGAAGCUGUCCACUGCCGACCACAUACAGCAGGCAGCUUUUCUCUUAUAGCUCUCGUGUUGCGUUUCUUAAUUUAAAAUGGGAAAUUCCG
rnacentral:lncRNA from 1 species